AGUGGGUCAAAGUGGCAGCCCGCCGCGCAGCUCAGUCCGGGCGGGCCCCCCUCUACUCAGGCGGCCGACAGCCAGACUGGGUCAAAGUGGCAGCCCGCCGUGCUGCUCAUCCCUGGGGGACCCACGCCCACUCAGGCGGCCGACCGCAAGUGUUAGUCAAAGUGGCAGCCCGCUGCGCUGCUCAGCCCUGGGGCACCCAAGCCCACUCCGUUGGCCGCCCGCCAGAGUGGGUCAAAGUGGCAGCUCGCCGCGCUGCUCAGCCCUGGGGUCCCUCUCCCCACUCAGGCGGCUGACCGCCAGAGUGGGUCAAAGCGGCAGCCCGCCUCCCUGCUCAGCCCUGGCGGCCCCCCCCCGACCCACUCAGGCUGCCGA
rnacentral:lncRNA from 1 species